AGGGACCAACAUGACUGGUCAGAAUUGACAGAGAUGGAUGGAAAUGCCAUAUUUUCGUUGGUGGAAGAAAACUGCAAGAGGAUUUUGCUGAGUGAGCUGAAAAGAUAUAAAAGGAUGCUCUUUCCACAUCUAUUACAAUUCUCUGAAAGUGAGAAGCAGGAAAGAGACAGUUUGACUACUGAAGAUAAAAAGCAAGACAGCAGUGCCAGUGAGGGCGCUCUGAAGAUUGCACUACAUGUCUUAAAUAAAAUGGACCAAAGAGAACUUGCUAACACACUGGAGAAGCACAUUUAUGGUGAGCUUGAUGUCUGCCAGCGCAA